CAAAUAAAGAAGAGGUUGGGGAUAACUAUACGAAUUCAACUCCCACAUUAGAAAGCCUUUACUCCGACGACUUAUAAGUCGGAGCGAUAGCGUGUGGAGACGCAGGAAGGCGCGUUGCUUGGGCUCUGUAGGAAGUCCUCGUCAUAUAUUAUUAUUAAGAAUAUAUUUCUUUUUUAUAGAUCAUACUAGAUCGCCGUCUAAGAAGAUGGCGACGGAACAAUGCUGAAUAUAGAUUAGAUCAACUGGAAUGUGUUUACGGAGAAGUGUCGUCGUAGAAAUAUUUCAGUAGGUAGAGUCUAUCGCUGCCCGCCACACACG
rnacentral:rRNA from 1 species